rnacentral:rRNA from 1 species
CACGUAGGGUGCGAGCGUUGUCCGGAAUUAUUGAGCGUAAAGAGCUCGUAGGCGGUGUGUCGCGUCGGCCGUGAAAACCUGGGGCUUAACUCUGGGCUUGCGGUCGAUACGGGCAUCACUGGAGUUCGGCAGGGGAGACUGGAAUUCCUGGUGUAGCGGUGAAAUGCGCAGAUAUCAGGAGGAACACCGGUGGCGAAGGCGGGUCUCUGGGCCGAUACUGACGCUGAGGAGCGAAAGCGUGGGGAGCGAACAGG